rnacentral:lncRNA from 10 species
AACUCCCAUUUGUAAAACCGUCAGAUCUCGUGAGACUUAUUCAUUACCACGAGAACAGUAUGGGGAAAACCACCUCCGCCAUGAUUCAGUUAUCUCCCCCUGGCUCCACCCUUGACGUCGGGAUUAUUACAAUUCAAGGUGAGAUUUGGAUGGCAACACAGCCAAACCAUGUCAUCUAGCAUCUACUAUGUGUCUGGCACCAUGCUGGGAAUGGGGGAUUCAUUGGUAAGUAAGACAGACAUGGGUCCUGGUUUUGUGGCUUUCGUGGUCUGGUUUCUCUGAGAACAGAUGACCUUACUUGUUCAGUACGUGAUAGCUGGAGCUGCAGUGCAAUUGCAUGUCUCAGCUCAGGCAUAGAUAACUUCUCUGAUUCCCCUUGGGAACAAAGUCAGAGUGUCUUAGUCCGUUUCACACUGCUAUAAAGAGUACCACCUAGGCUGGGUGUGGUGGCUCAUGCCUGUUAUCCAA